rnacentral:rRNA from 1 species
AACGAACGCUGGCGGCAUGCCUAACACAUGCAAGUCGAACGAAGCCUUCGAGCUUAGUGGCGCACGGGUACGUAACGCGUGGGAAUCUGCCCUUAGGUACGGAAUAACUCAGGGAAACUUGUGCUAAUACCGUAUGAUGUCGCGAGACCAAAGAUUUAUCGCCCAGGGAUGAGCCCGCGUUGGAUUAGCUAGUUGGUGAGGUAAAGGCUCACCAAGGCGACGAUCCAUAGCUGGUCUGAGAGGAUGAUCAGCCACACUGGGACUGAGACACGGCCCAGACUCCUACGGGAGGCAGCAGUGGGGAAUAUUGGACAAUGGGCGAAAGCCUGAUCCAGCAAUGCCGCGUGAGUGAAGAAGGCCUUCGGGUUGUAAAGCUCUUUUACCCGGGAAGAUAAUGACUGUACCGGGAGAAUAAGCCCCGGCUAACUCCGUGCCAGCCGCCGCAGUAA